UACGUAGGGUGCGAGCGUUGUCCGGAAUUAUUGGGCGUAAAGAGCUCGUAGGCGGUGUGUCACGUCGGCCGUGAAAACCUGCAGCUUAACUGUGGGCGUGCGGUCGAUACGGGCAUCACUUGAGUUCGGCAGGGGAGACUGGAAUUCCUGGUGUAGCGGUGAAAUGCGCAGAUAUCAGGAGGAACACCGGUGGCGAAGGCGGGUCUCUGGGCAGUAACUGACGCUGAGGAGCGAAAGCGUGGGGGAGCGAACAGG
rnacentral:rRNA from 1 species